rnacentral:rRNA from 1 species
CCUAGUGGCGUACGGGUGAGUAACACGUGGGUGACCUGCCCUCAAGUGGGGGAUAACUCUGGGAAGCUGGGGCUAAUCCCGCAUGUGCUGCGGUUUUCGUUGAUCGUAGUAAAGGAGCCUUUUGGUUUCGCUUGGGGAUGGGCCCGCGGCCUAUCAGCUUGUUGGUGUGGUAAUGGCCUACCAAGGCGACGACGGGUAGCCGGCCUGAGAGGGUGACCGGCCACACUGGGACUGAGACACGGCCCAGACUCCUACGGGAGGCAGCAGUGGGGAAUAUUGCACAAUGGGCGAAAGCCUGAUGCAGCGACGCCGCGUGAGGGAUGACGGCCUUCGGGUCGUAAACCUCUUUCAGUAGGGAAGAAGCCUUCGGGUGACGGUACCUGCAGAAGAAGCGCCGGCUAACUACGUGCCAGCAGCCGCGGUAAUACGUAGGGCGCAAGCGUUGUCCGGAAUUAUUGGGCGUAAAGAGCUCGUAGGCGGUUUGUCGCGUCUGCUGUGAAAACGCAAGGCUUAACCUUGCGCCUGCAGUGGGUACGGGCAGACUAGAGUGCAGUAGGGGAGACUGGAAUUCCUGGUGUAGCGGUGGAAUGCGCAGAUAUCAGGAGGAACACCGAUGGCGAAGGCAGGUCUCUGGGCUGUUACUGACGCUGAGGAGCGAAAGCAUGGGGAGCGAACAGGAUUAGAUACCCUGGUAGUCCAUGCCGUAAACGUUGGGCACUAAGUAGAGGGGUU